rfam:Stegodyphus mimosarum contig35761, whole genome shotgun sequence.
GCCUUGGUGGUGUAGUGGUCCGCAUGCUCGACGCGUAACCCAGAGGUCCGUGGUUCGAUUCCCGGCGAAGGCA